UGUGUGUGUGUGUGUGUGUGUGUGUGUGUGUGUGUACACACACACUCACUCACUCACUCACUCACACU
rnacentral:miRNA from 1 species